GAAUUACUGUCAGAACCAUGACACAUCCUGCAAAGGAUCUGGACUGGCGGGUAGCCUGGGGAGUCACGGAGGAGGCAGUGGGCCAACAGAUGCAAGGCUUUUUGGAGGACUCCACUGAAGUUAAACGUCUAAGGCAACCAAAGACACAAGGGUAGGCUCAAGAUCUUAUGGAUGGACUAUGUAUGACAGCCUCAGAGUGCAGUUUCUGAAAUAUCAAUGAGUGUGUCAAGUGAUAUGUGUAUGAAAAAGCUUGCAGUGGAAAGAUGGAUCAGGGUAUAUGAGACUGAUCCCACUGACAGAGUCAUAAACAGGUCUUUAAUAAUUAAAGGGUUGUUUUG